rnacentral:lncRNA from 1 species
CAUCUUUUGUUUUUAAAAAAAUUCUUAAAACACUCCGAAACCUUAUUGUGGUUUUACCUUGUAAAGUCGGAAACCCCUCAUAUUUCUCUUCAAAGUCCUUUCUUUUCACGACUAUUCCACAAUUCUCCCUUCAAUGCUUUCUCCAUUAUUAACAUCUGCUUAUUUUAAUUACUUAUAUAUAUACCAAGGCAUUUGGAAAGGAAAAUAUAUAAGUAAUGAAAAUGUAGCAACUAAUAAAGAAAGCAUUCCACAGCAUUUGAAAAAAGGAACAACAAAAAAAAUAAUAUAACAAUUGAGGCAGUAAGAGAAAUUGAAGGACAAGAACUACGAUAAUAGUGUUAAUAAUACUAUUAAAGGGGAAACAUACGAAGCACCAACUACGAUCUAUGAUCUCCAUAUCCUCAUGUCUAAGGUCAUGUCCUCGAUAAGUUGAAGAUGCUCCAUGUCUUAUCUAAUUUUAUCUCCCAGUACUUCUUUGACCUACCUCUACCUCUUCUUAAAUCCACCAUUGUCAAUCCUCUCACACCUCUUCACUUGGAC